rfam:Oryctolagus cuniculus chromosome 16, whole genome shotgun sequence.
UCUCCAAAGUGGAGUAGAAAAAAAUUAAAAAAUAUAUAAAGUAAUUUCUUGAGAUCACAUAAAUAUAUAAACCUUUAUUUAAAGAAAAAAAUUUUUUGCUUAAGACACAGAGAGAAAGUCCUUCUGAUUGAAUCCCAACCUGCGGACGGUGUAAGGCCAGUAGCAGCCCCCGGUGCACGAGGCCUGGGUCUUCCCAGAGUCGAAUUGCUUGAGAAUGCAACCCAAAACAGAUGGUAAACUCCAUCUAAGGCUAAAUACCAGCACAAGACCGAGACCAAUAGUCAACAAGUACUGUAAGGGAAGUUCAAAGAACAUUGAAGAGAGAGUUCAAGAAAAAAAAAGAAAGAAGAGGCAGAGAGAGAGAAAGGAAAGAGAGAGGGCUUCUCCAUCUCUGGUUCCCUCCACUAACGCCUGGAUUGCACUAGGCAGAAGCUAGGCAUCACAAACUCAAUCCUGGUCUCCUUUGUGAGUCUUAGGAAUUCAACUAUGGGAGCCACUAUCUACUGUAAACCAUAUUAGCAGGAAACAGGAAUCUGGAGUCAGAGCCAGGAACUGAACCCAGGCACUCGGAUAUGUGACACAGCAGUCCUAAUCAGCAGCUUAAUCAUGGUCAAACAUCUGCCCUAAAUUUCCAUUUAUAUUAAUGUAGUCUUAAAUUCUUUGGCUAAUGUUUUAUAAAAUACA